UCAACUUCUCUGCCUUUUGGCUAAGAUCAAGUGUAGUAUCUGUUCUUAUCAGUUUUUAGAGGAGCAUUGAAGCACCUCCGUCGGGAGGGUGGAUACAAUCCAAUAAUGUAAUUUCACCUGGAAGGGUGGUUUCAGCAGGGGCUAUGCCGGGCUACCCGACUGACUGGGGCAGGCCACUGGUCGAGUCUGAGCCAUC